ACGAGUAGAAAAGAAGAUCUGUGUGCGGAUGUGAGCCUGUUCUGUGUUUCUCCUUGCAAAGGAAAAAUUAGGACUGUAUACAGUGUGAAGCCUCUAAAUUGCAUCUUUCAGUUGUCAGGCUUUUAGGCUGAUAAUGGCCUAAUGGUUUGUCCCUAAGACACUCACCCCUGACCAUCCAAAUGGCAGGAACUGCCCCUCAGCCCAGUUUUCUCCAUUGACGUAGAAGAGCCCAGCGAUCAUCAUGAAGAUCCACACAGCCAGGUUAAUCACAUUAAGGACAUUGUUAAAUCCCACAGAGUUCUUCACCCCCAAAGCAACUAUGAUGGUGACAAUGACAGCAAUGACCAAAGCUAGCAGAUCUGGGUAUGAUUCUUCUCCUUUACCUGUGAAAAGAAAAAUUAUCUGUGAGUUUUAACCCAGGCAGUGGAGGGAAAGAAUGUCCAAGAAAGGAACUUACAGAAAACUGCCAAUUUAUCUUUAAGAUGCUCAGGUUUCACUGAGGAAAGCUGGUCUAAGGAAGGAGAGCUGGUUUUGUUGUAGCAAGCAUGAAUUUCCCCCUUUGCUAAGCAGGGUCUGCCCUCAUUUGCAUGUGGAUGGCUAUCUAUCUAUUUAUCAUGAGAGUGCAUCAGUAUAAUCUUCGGGAGAGGAGUUCAAAUCCCAGCUCACUUAUAAGAUUCAGUUGGUGGCUCUUUGAAAACCAGUCUCUGAAAGCUUCCCAUGUUUAAAAUGAAAGUGACGAGUUAUUUUCUCUCAUGAGCUGUAAGUUCUAACACUUCCCUAUUACCUUGUGGCCAGAUGUCUCUUCCAGAAAUCCAAUUAUUUUGCACCUAAGUCAAUUUGUGUAUGUGACAGGAAUACAACUUCUUGCUUAUCAGCCUAUUCAACAUUCAUGCAGACAGCAAAGCCGACGCUCCAGAUUUUUUAAGUGACCAGAGCUGCCAGCAAGAGGUCCUAACAUGGUUCUGCAAUAUUUAUUUCUGUUAAGGAUUAGUUUUGCCCAAUUUGGCAUGAUUGUAGGUUAUUUUGUUUUUUUGUCAGGAAUAAAA